GAGUUUGAUCCUGGCUCAGGAUGAACGCUAGCGGAACGCCUAACACAUGCAAGUCGAACGAGAGUUAUUUUGUAGCAAUACAAGAUAAUAAAAGUGGCAAACGAGCGAGUAACACGUACUUAACCUGCCCAGAAGUUGAGGCCAACUACAGAGAUGUAGCUAAUCCUCAAUAGUAUCUAAGUGACGAAAUUAGCUUAGAUUAAAGAUUUAUCGCUUUUGGAGGGGGGUGCGUCCUAUCAGGUUGUUGGUGAGGUAAUGGCUCACCAAGCCUAUGACGGGUAGCCGGUCUGAGAUGAUGUCCGGCCGCGAUGGGACUGAGAUACGGCCCAUACUCCUACGGGAGGCAGCAGUGGGGAAUCUUGCACAAUGGGCGAAAGCCUGAUGCAGCGAUUCCGCGUGGAGGAUGACGCAUUACGGUGUGUAAACUCCUUUUCUGGUGGAAGACGAAUGACGGUACACCAGGAAUAAGGGACGGCUAACUACGUGCCAGCAGCCGCGGUAAUACGUAGGUCCCAAGCGUUAUCCGGAUUUACUGGGCGUAAAGCGUCUGUAGCCUGAUAUGUAAGUCUGUUUUCAAAUACCUGGACUCAAUCGAGGGAAGGGGAUAGAUACUGCAUAUCUAGAGAUAUUUGGGGGUUAGUGGAAUUUCCGGUGGAGCGGUGAAAUGCGUUGAUAUCGGAAAGAACGCCAAAAGCGAAAGCAGCUAACUACAAUACAUCUGACGGUGAGAGACGAAAGUUUGGGUGGCAAACGGGAUUAGAUACCCCGGUAGUCCAAACCUUAAAUUAUGCUUGCUAGGUGUUUAGAUCCUUCGGGAUUUGAGUGCCGUAAUCUAACGAGUUAAGCAAGCCGCCUGGGUAGUAUAUUCGCAAGAAUGAAACUCAAAGGGAUAGGCGGGGGAAC
rnacentral:rRNA from 1 species